GGGAUAACACACUGAAAAGUGUGCUAAUACCAGAUAACAUAAGCUUUUGGCAUCAUUAGCUUAUCAAAGAAUUUCGGAUAGGGAUGGGCCCGCGUCUGAUUAGCUUGUUGGUGAGGUAACGGCUCACCAAGGCAACGAUCAGUAGCCGACCUGAGAGGGUGAUCGGCCACACUGGAACUGAGACACGGUCCAGACUCCUACGGGAGGCAGCAGUGGGGAAUAUUGCACAAUGGGCGAAAGCCUGAUGCAGCAACGCCGCGUGAGCGAUGAAGGCCUUCGGGUCGUAAAGCUCUGUCCUAUGGGAAGAUAAUGACGGUACCAUAGGAGGAAGCCCCGGCUAACUACGUGCCAGCAGCCGCGGUAAUACGUAGGGGGCAAGCGUUAUCCGGAAUUACUGGGCGUAAAGGGUGCGUAGGCGGUUUAUCAAGUCAGGGGUGAAAGGCUACGGCUCAACCGUAGUGAGCCUCUGAAACUGGUGAACUUGAGUGUAGGAGAGGAAAGUGGAAUUCCCAGUGUAGCGGUGAAAUGCGUAGAUAUUGGGAGGAACACCAGUGGCGAAGGCGACUUUCUGGACUACAACUGACGCUGAGGCACGAAAGCGUGGGGAGCAAACAGGAUUAGAUACCCUGGUAGUCCACGCUGUAAACGAUGAGUACUAUGUGUCGGCUGUCAAAGGUCGGUGCCGGCGUUACACAUUAAGUACUCCGCCCUGGGAGUACGCUCGCAAGAGUGAACUCAAAAGAAUUGACGGGACCCGCACAAGUAGCGGAGCAUGUGUUUAAUUCGAAGCACGCGAAGAACUUA
rnacentral:rRNA from 1 species